GCCAGACAGUGGUGGUGGGUGCCUGUAGUCCCACUUACUGGGGAGACUGAGGCAGGAGGCUCACUUGAGCCCAGGAGCUCUGGGCUGUAGUGCACUAUGCAGAUUGGGUGUCCGCCCUAAGUUCGGUAUCAAUAUGGUGACCUCCCAGGAGUGGGGAACCACCAUGCUGCCUGAGGGGUGAACUGGCCCAGGUUGGACACAGAGCAGGUCAAAACUCCAGUGCUGAUCAGUGGUGGGAUUGCGCCUGUGAAUAGCUACUGCACUCCAGCCUGGGCAACAUAGUGAGACCUCAUCUCU
rnacentral:SRP_RNA from 1 species